CCCCACGCGGCCGGACCGGUCACUCAUUGUCCCACUUUGCAGAUUGCCAAAAAUAAAACAGUGAAGACGUGACGAACCGUUAACGUGACCUGGACCAAGUCCCAAAUUGCGUACGCAAAAUUGUCUUAACAAUUGACACCUUUGUGGAAAGGGAGGACAGGCCCACAUGGGAUGUAUUCCAAGUUCUUAUUUUUUUUUAAUUACCAUACCAAGAACAGCACAAUGUUAUAAUUAUCUACGUGUAUGCUAAUUAUGUCAAUUGUGAUAAAUGAACAGUACAUUGGUUCUCCUGUGGCACUUGACAGUGAAAAUGAAUAAUGGAUAUUCGUACUGUGAUUAGUGAUCUUACUACUUCGUAGCUAUAAAACGAGAAAGUCACAAAGUUCCUCAUUCUCACGACUAAAUUCCUCCUAAUAGUUUGGCGGGAACCUCAUGUAAGCUUCGAGAAACAAAUGACGGGCGUUAGUGUAUAUUCUCUGUAUCAUUAUUCCAUGAAUUUAAAAAAAUGGUUUUCAAAUGUUCAUCGUUUCUAGCGUUGCAUUUCGAGCACUGCUUUUUUAAAUAGGCAAUUUAUUUACAUGGAAUAAUGCAUCAUGGUUUGCACAACAAUGUUCAUUUUUUAAAAACGCGUAAUGUUAGCUGGAAAGUGAAACCACAAUGAAAAGCUUGUGGUUUAAGAUACUAAUGAGCCCUAUACUUAAAAGUCAUCAAAGUAGUGCCAAUAUCAAUCCCGUUCAACCUUACAGACAUCAUAGAUUACCAAAUGCACACUCAGCUUAAUUCGGCGUGUGCUGAAUGUUAGUGCUCUCCAUUCAAGAAUUUGCAUAUUCUAAUUAGUUGAAACAACUAUUCAUCAAAAGGCCCAAAGCGACACGGGUCGUUAGCCUCGUUUCGUGCCAUCCCACCGUGGCAAAGACAAACAACGACGACGUCGUUCCCGGCGAUAAAUUCUGCACGAAAUUUUUUUUUUUUUUUACCCACUAUGAUGCAAGGAAGGCAGCCUUCAGACAGCAGAAUCCAACGUCGUCAUCAAUCGCCAUUUGCAAAAUAUUGAAAUGCCAGAUUUUUUGCAGCUAAUGCCCAACAAAAGAGUUUAUUUUUGAAAACAUUUGAAAACUAAAAGAAAAUAAUGUUUCAUCCAAGAAAACGCCCCCAACGAUUCAACUGCCCUCUUUAGGGGAAAAUAAAUCAGUCAAAUGCAACGGUUCUCAUCGUUCACACGACGCUAAACUGCCUAAACGCCUCUUGCCGUACAAUGUUGGAGCAAGGAAUCUGUUGUUGGCGGCUGUAAUUCAAUACGCAUCUGCGGAGCAGUCAUCAGCAGAAAACAAGGCCCUCUACACACAUGGUAUAGCUCUACAUAUAACGGUUAGAUAUCCCUAUAUACAUUUGUGCAUAUACUAAUAAGAAAUUCUAUGUACGGAAUGGUCUAUUAGCUCUGGUUGCCAAGCCAUGCCAGAAAAAGUGUGUUUCUUUCUUUUUCUCCCUCUAGUUACUUUUGUACCAAUUUGGUCUGAACUGGAAUAAAAGAAGAAGGAAAAAGAAAUCUACAGUCAACAGCAGGAGGAGUUUGAGAUUGAAGAUGUAGUCUAUACCAUCAGUCUUUGUCGCCAUUUUGUAAUAGCUCCCGACAGUCCUCUUUUGUGUUCUUAACUGAAUGGGGCAGACUGUCUCAUCCGCCAUUGUUUUCUUGGCUACAACUGGACUCGUCUAUAACCUCCUUUUUUUUACAGUUGAAUGGUUCAACUCGACAAGUCUAUUUAUUGAUGCAAUUAUCGAUAUGAGCGCCGCUUGCCAUUCUGCCUUUCUCUGUUUAGUCUAUUGCGUGUAAGUUCUCUACUUCUCCGCUGCCAGAAUGCAUUGAAUUGGGCCAACGAAUCUGCUCGUGAUUUAUCGACGGCGACAAUAAUCAGACGACACUGGCCUGCGCGUAUAUUUCCAUUCCAAAGUGGCCAGCAAGAACCAUUAACGCCGUCGGGCUCUAAAAUUUGCAUGUGGCGAACUGAGUAUAUAUUUAAUGUCGCCACUCGGAACGCUCCACCUUCGAGUAUAAUCCAGCUCCAUCCGCAAAAACAGCCGUUGGGCGAAAGGUCCAUUUACAGUCUAAAAGCGUCCUCGAGGAAUUUUCGUUUCUAAACGCAUCAUAAAUGGCUGCUCGAUGUUUAUAUCUUUGAUAAGCUUCGUUUGAAGCCUUUUGUUUUCACGAUGACUCUCACGUUCUCCUGCCUAGAGGUUUUCGUCACCAUUAUCGGCCCAAGCACGUCGACGUGUUAUUUAUUAUUCAUUACUAUUAUAUAUAAAAAGGAUUAUAGAUCCCUCGUGGUUGUCUGCAAAGAAGACGUAGCCCCCAUCAAUCAUGGCUUGAUAUUAUAAAAAUAAAAAAGAGUACAAAGGGGAGAACAAUGUCAAACGACCUGCGCCGUUAUGUCAUUGUGUAAUGGUCUUCGUUUGUCGCCACGCACGGACGUGACGUCAUGCAAACAUUUAAAACACAUUGUAACCUGUGCUGUUUUAUAUCCGAACAUUUAAAAAAAAGAAUCGUGAAUUGCGCAUCAGAUCGAACUAACAAAAAAUUUUACCUUGUCAAGUUAUCGCACAAAUUUCACUAAUGUCAAGAUUUACAUGUCGUCAGGUAUGCAUAAUUUCGUGUCUUCCCUGAUCUAAUUUGCAAUUCAAGUGUCCUACAUCUCAACUGUUGAAAAUUCGAGUUGAUAGAGAAAAGCGAACGUAACUCUAUCAGCGCCCUGCACGCCAUCUCUAGGAUCUGCAAAGAAUAUCCAAUUCAAGAUUAUCGGGUGCAUAAUGCGUGUAUAAACUGACGCCUUUCGGUGUCUUUCGAAAACAAAAAGAUAAAAAAAAAUAUAUAUUUAUUCCUUUUUCUUUAUAAAUAUAAUAGCCUUUAUAUAUAA
rnacentral:lncRNA from 1 species